rnacentral:rRNA from 1 species
GAUGAACGCUGGCGGCGUGCUUAACACAUGCAAGUCGAGCGAGAAGUUUUAAACGGAUUCUUCGGAUGAAAGAUAAAACGGAAAGCGGCGGACGGGUGAGUAACGCGUAGGCAACCUGCCUCAUACAAAGGGAUAGCAUCUGGAAACGGAUAUUAAUACCUUAUAAUACCUUAGGUUCACAUGGACCAUAGGUCAAAGAUUUAUCGGUAUGAGAUGGGCCUGCGUCUGAUUAGCUAGUUGGUAGGGUAACGGCCUACCAAGGCGACGAUCAGUAGCCGACCUGAGAGGGUGAUCGGCCACACUGGAACUGAGACACGGUCCAGACUCCUACGGGAGGCAGCAGUGGGGAAUAUUGCACAAUGGGCGCAAGCCUGAUGCAGCAACGCCGCGUGAGUGAUGAAGGCCUUAGGGUCGUAAAAACUCUGUCCUAAGGGAAGAAUAAAUGACGGUACCUUAGGAGGAAGCCCCGGCUAACUACGUG